rnacentral:SRP_RNA from 1 species
GGCAGCCCCUCGUGUGGCGUCACCCUGUGAAGUCCCCCCAGGACCGGAAGGUAGCAAGGGUAAGCUGGCUCUGGCGGGUGCACGAGGGGUCCUUUCA